ACCGUCCAGAUUCCUCACCCAUCAGAUGUGCACCCUGGUCUGAGUGGUUAUAAAAGGGGGGAAAUUAAAAUUGGAUCUGACUUAAAUUGGAGUGACAGUGACACACGAGCUAGUUCAAACAAAC
rnacentral:snoRNA from 1 species